UCCUGAUGGGAGGCUCUUCAGUAGAACAGCACACAGUGAUGAACACACAGAGUAACGUGUUCUUAGAGUCAGUCAUAAAACACACAAGAUGAUCCUCCUCUUCUGCACAGCCCUUCAGGUCAUACUGGUUUCAGGUUCCUCUCUGAGUGACCUCGUCUCACAGACUCCAGCUUAUAUGUACAAAAACCUCGGAGAAGAAGCCGUCAUCAGCUGUUCUCACAGUAUUGAAAGCUACAACAGAAUCCUGUGGUACAAACAAAUGAAGGACGGACAACUGCAGUUCCUCGGGUACAUCCUUUCAACUCAGAAAAACCCAGAGCCUGGCCUGGGGGUGAAGAUGGACGGAGAUGCAAAUAUAAAUAAGAACUGCACACUGACAGUUGAAGGGCUGAGUGAGAACAGCAGUGCACUUUAUUUCUGUGCUGCUAGUCUACACAGUGCUGCAUGUCUCUGCUCCUCCUGUACAAAAACCUCCUCAACACGGUUCAUUUACAGCUCUGUGCACCUGGAACAUCACUUCCAACCAACGUCUAUGUUCCUGCUGAUUACCAUGAGAGAUUAUAAUAACAGGAGGCCGUCCUUUCUGCAGAGAAAUGUAACUUCCUGUUAUAAUAGCAAGAUAGUUCUCUUAAUGUUUACAGUAUAGAAGGAAUUAGAGACCAAAUGACUCAUUAACUAAUCUGGAGAUUAAUCUGCAUAUCAAUGAACAUGAACAUAAUCACAGUUACAGGACUGAGAAUUGACAGACUGGUAUUUUACCGCAUGAAUUGUGUGAGUUUGUGAAAAAAUAUUGUUGUUGAAAGCCACUUGGAUAAUCCAAUCGACAAGACCUUUCUGAGAUUUGUAAUUGACUUACUUUACCAAUAACUCAUGGUAACACGGGGCGGGUAUCUC